GCCCAGCCGUAAACUUAGAUAGAAAAAUACUACCUAUCCGCCAGAGAACUACAAGCAAAAUACUUAAAACUCAAAGGACUUGGCGGCAUUCCACAUCAACCUAGAGGAGCCCGUCCAAUAAUCGAUAAUACACGCUCAACCCCACCAUUUUUGGCCAUUCCAGCCUAUAUACCGCCGUCGCCAGCUAACCUUGUGAAAGAAAAGUAGUAAGCACAAUAGCCCUCACUAAAACGUCAGGUCAAGGUGUAGCUCAUAAAAUGGAUGUGAUAGGCUACAUUUUCUACCAUAGAAAACACGAAAAAUACAAUGAAACCUUGUAAUGGAAGGCGAAUUUAGAAGUAAAAUAAGAAAGGAUCCCUAUUUUAACACUGCCCUGGAAUGCGCACAC
rnacentral:rRNA from 1 species